AGCAGCCGCGGUAAUUCCAGCUCCAAUAGCGUAUAUUAAAGUUGUUGCAGUUAAAAAGCUCGUAGUUGAAUUUCGGGGUUAGCAGGUUGGUCGUGCCACUGGUAUGUACUGGCCUUGCUGAUUCCUCCCUCUUGAUGAGCCGUAAUGCCAUUAAUUUGGUGUUGCGAGGAAUCAGGACUGUUACUUUGAAAAAUUAGAGUGUUUAAAGCAGGCAAGCGCUUGAAUACAUUAGCAUGGAAUAAUGAAAUAGGACGUUUGAUCUUAUUUUGUUGGUUUCUAAGAUUGACGUAAUGAUUAAUAGGGAUAGUUGGGGGCAUUAGUAUUCAAUUGUCAGAGGUGAAAUUCUUGGAUUUAUUGAAGACUAACUACUGCGAAAGCAUUUGCCAAGGAUGUUUUCAUUAAUCAAGAACGAAAGUUAGGGGAUCGGAAGACGAU
rnacentral:rRNA from 1 species